rnacentral:rRNA from 1 species
UACGUAGGGUACGAGCGUUAAUCGGAAUUACUGGGCGUAAAGCGUGCGCAGGCGGUUUUGUAAGCCAGAUGUGAAAGCCCCGGGCUUAACCUGGGAAUGGCAUUUGGGACUGCAAGGCUUGAGUGCGGCAGAGGAGACUGGAAUUCCCGGUGUAGCAGUGAAAUGCGUAGAUAUCGGGAGGAAUACCGAUGGCGAAGGCAGGUCUCUGGGCUGACACUGACGCUCAUGCACGAAAGCGUGGGGAGCAAACAGG